GACGAACGCUGGCGGCGUGCUUAACACAUGCAAGUCGAACGGAAAGGCCCUGCUUUUGUGGGGUGCUCGAGUGGCGAACGGGUGAGUAACACGUGAGUAACCUGCCCUUGACUUUGGGAUAACUUCAGGAAACUGGGGCUAAUACCGGAUAGGAGCUCCUGCUGCAUGGUGGGGGUUGGAAAGUUUCGGCGGUUGGGGAUGGACUCGCGGCUUAUCAGCUUGUUGGUGGGGGAGUGGCUUACCAAGGCUUUGACGGGUAGCCGGCCUGAGCGGGUGACCGGCCCCAUUGGGACUGAGAGACGGCCCAGACUCGUACGGGAGGCAGCAGUGGGGAGUAUUGCACAAUGGGCGCAAGCGUGAUGCAGCAACGCCGCGUGCGGAAUGACGGCCUUCGGGUUGUAAACCGCUUUCGCCUGUUACGAGGCGUGAGUGACGGUAAUGGGUAAAGAAGCACCGGCUAACUACGUG
rnacentral:rRNA from 1 species